rnacentral:rRNA from 1 species
UUCCGUAGGUGAACCUGCGGAAGGAUCAUUAUUGAAUAAAUUUGGGUUAGGCUGUUGCUGGUCCUGCGGGGCACUGUGCACGCCUAUUCCUAUAUUUACACCCACCUGUGCACUUUGUGUAGAUCUGAAUAAUUCUCGAGAUUAACUCGGUCUGGGAACCUGCUGUGAUUCACAUGCGCAGCUUUUCUUCACUUUCGGAUCUAUGUUUUUACUAUACUCCAUACCAAGUAAUCUGAAUGUAACGCAGGCUUUAUGUGCCUAUAAAAUAUACAAUACAACUUUCAACAACGGAUCUCUUGGCUCUCGCAUCGAUGAAGAACGCAGCGAAAUGCGAUAAGUAAUGUGAAUUGCAGAAUUCAGUGAAUCAUCGAAUCUUUGAACGCACCUUGCGCUCUUUGGUAUUCCGAGGAGCAUGCCUGUUUGAGAGUCAUGAAAUUCACAACCUUUCAGGCUUUUUAUGAAAGCUUGUUAGGCUUGGAUUCUGGGAGUUUGCUGGCCCUUCUUUGAGUCAGCUCUUCUUAAAUAUAUUAGCAAGGUCAUUGCUAAAUCAUCUUUGAUAUGAUAAUUAUCUAUAUCAUUAAUGAUACUUGGCAUUUCCUUCACGGGAAAAGAUCAGGCUUAUAGCUGUCUCAGGACAAAAUAUAUUUGAAUCAUUUGACAUCAAAUCAGGUAG